rnacentral:rRNA from 1 species
AGAGUUUGAUCCUGGCUCAGAAUGAACGCUGGCGGCGUGCUUAACACAUGCAAGUCGCACGAGAACGCUUUAGCUUGCUAAAGCAAGUAAAGUGGCGCACGGGUGAGUAACGCGUGGGCAAUCUACCUCCGAAUCGGGGAUAACAUUGCGAAAGCGAUGCUAAUACCGGAUGACAUCCUGAAGGCUUUGGUUUUAAGGAUCAAAGGUGGCCUCUACAAGUAAGCUACUGUUUGGAGAUGAGCCCGCGUACCAUUAGCUUGUUGGUAGGGUAACGGCCUACCAAGGCGACGAUGGUUAGCUGGUCUGAGAGGAUGAUCAGCCACACUGGAACUGACACACGGUCCAGACUCCUACGGGAGGCAGCAGUGAGGAAUUUUGCGCAAUGGGGGAAACCCUGACGCAGCAACGCCGCGUGAGUGAUGAAGGCUUUCGGGUCGUAAAGCUCUGUCAAGUGGGAAGAAACCACGAGGUGAUAAUAUCGCUUUGUGCUGACGGUACCACUGAAGGAUCACCGGCUAACUCCGUGCCAGCAGCCGCGGUAAUACGGGGGGUGCAAGCGUUAUUCGGAAUCAUUGGGCGUAAAGGGCGCGUAGGCGGUUUGUUAAGUCAGAUGUGAAAGCCCGGGGCUCAACCCCGGAAGUGCAUUUGAUACUGGCGGACUUGAGUAUGGGAGAGGGAAGUGGAAUUCCUGGUGUAGAGGUGAAAUUCGUAGAUAUCAGGAGGAACACCGGUGGCGAAGGCGACUUCCUGGACCAAUACUGACGCUAAAUUGCGAAGGUGUGGGUAUCAAACAGGAUUAGAUACCCUGGUAGUCCACACAGUAAACGAUAUGCACUAGAUGUUGGGGGAGAGAAUCCUUCAGUGUCGCAGCUAACGCGUUAAGUGCAUCGCCUGGGGAGUACGGUCGCAAGAUUAAAACUCAAAGGAAUUGACGGGGGCCCGCACAAGCGGUGGAGCAUGUGGUUUAAUUCGAUGCAACGCGAAGAACCUUACCUGGGCUUGACAUCCCAAGAACGAUCCAGAGAUGGAUUGGUGCCCCUCGGGGAACUUGGUGACAGGUGCUGCAUGGCUGUCGUCAGCUCGUGUCGUGAGAUGUUGGGUUAAGUCCCGCAACGAGCGCAACCCCUAUUUCUAGUUGCUAACGCGUAAUGGCGAGGACUCUAGAGAGACUGCCAGUGUAAUAAACUGGAGGAAGGUGGGGACGACGUCAAGUCAUCAUGGUCCUUAUGUCCAGGGCUACACACGUGCUACAAUGGUCGGUACAGAGGGAAGCAAUACUGUGAAGUGGAGCCAAUCUCAGAAAGCCGAUCUCAGUUCGGAUUGGAGUCUGCAACUCGACUCCAUGAAGUUAGAAUCGCUAGUAAUCGCGUGUCAGCAUAACGCGGUGAAUACGUUCCCGGGCCUUGUACACACCGCCCGUCAAGUCAGCCGAGUUGAUUGCACCCGAAGGAGGUGAGCGAACCGUAAGGGGGCAGCUUUCGAAGGUGUGAUUAGCGAGGCG